UAAUGUGUAUGAGGUGCCAUCUCGUG
rnacentral:piRNA from 1 species